rnacentral:rRNA from 1 species
UACGGAGGGUGCAAGCGUUAUCCGGAUUCACUGGGUUUAAAGGGUGUGUAGGCGGGUAUUUAAGUCAGUGGUGAAAUCUCCGAGCUCAACUCGGAAACUGCCAUUGAUACUAUUUAUCUUGAAUAUUGUUGAGGUAGGCGGAAUAUGUCAUGUAGCGGUGAAAUGCUUAGAUAUGACAUAGAACACCGAUUGCGAAGGCAGAUCUCUGGGCCGUAACUGACGCUGAGGAGCGAAAAGCGUGGGGAGCGAACAGG